UGCAGCUUUACGUGUUUUGUAACUACA
rnacentral:piRNA from 1 species